GACGAACGCUGGCGGCGUGCUUAACACGUGCAAGUCGAACGGAAAGGCCCUGCUUUUGUGGGGUGCUCGAGUGGCGAACGGGUGAGUAACACGUGAGUAACCUGCCCUUGACUUUGGGAUAACUUCAGGAAACUGGGGCUAAUACCGGAUAGGAGCUCCUGCUGCAUGGUGGGGGUUGGAAAGUUUCGGCGGUUGGGGAUGGACGCGCGGCUUAUCAGCUUGUUGGUGGGGUAGUGGCUUACCAAGGCUUUGACGGGUAGCCGGCCUGGGAGGGUGACCGGCCACAUUGGGACUGAGAUACGGCCCAGACUCCUACGGGAGGCAGCAGUGGGGAAUAUUGCACAAUGGGCGGAAGCCUGAUGCAGCAACGCCGCGUGCGGGAUGACGGCCUUCGGGUUGUAAACCGCUUUCGCCUGUGACGAAGCGUGAGUGACGGUAAUGGGUAAAGAAGCACCGGCUAACUACGUG
rnacentral:rRNA from 1 species